UACGAAGGGUGCAAGCGUUAAUCGGAAUUACUGGGCGUAAAGAGUGCGUAGGCGGUUGUUUAAGUCUGUCGUGAAAUCCCCGGGCUCAACCUGGGAAUUGCGUUGGAGACUGCAAGGCUGGAGUCUGGCAGAGGGGGGUAGAAUUCCACGUGUAGCAGUGAAAUGCGUAGAGAUGUGGAGGAACACCGAUGGCGAAGGCAGCCCCCUGGGUCAAGACUGACGCGCAUGCACGAAAGCGUGGGGAGCAAACAGG
rnacentral:rRNA from 1 species